CAAUGGGCGAAAGCCUGAUGCAGCGACGCCGCGUGAGGGAUGACGGCCUCGGGUUGUAAACCUCUUCGCCCGGGACGAAGCGAGAGUGACGGUACCGGGAGAAGAAGCACCGGCUAACUACGUGCCAGCAGCCGCGGUAAUACGUAGGGUGCGAGCGUUGUCCGGAAUUAUUGGGCGUAAAGAGCUCGUAGGCGGUUGUCGCGUCGACUGUGAAAACCUGGGGCUUAACUCUGGGCCUGCAGUCGAUACGGGCAGACUUGAGUUCGGUAGGGGGAGACUGGAAUUCCUGGUGUAGCGGUGAAAUGCGCAGAUAUCAGGAGGAACACCGGUGGCGAAGGCGGGUCUCUGGGCCGAUACUGACGCUGAGGAGCGAAAGCGUGGGGAGCGAACAGGAUUAGAUACCCUGGUAGUCCACGCUGUGAACGUUGGGCGCUAGGUGUGGGGGACAUUCACGUUCUCCGUGCCGUAGCUAACGCAUUAAGCGCCCCGCCUGGGGAGUACGGCCGCAAGGCUA
rnacentral:rRNA from 1 species